CAGCAGCAACCUGUGAGAGAUGGGGGUUGCAUUUCUUACCACGAUUGUUGUGGGUUAAACUCAGGCCCCUGCACAUGACAAGGUCAUCCAGAUGGAUGGACAAGUGAGCCUAACAAGGAGACAAACGUUGUGCCCAGAGCUUGGAGUGAGAUCUGUACACCCCUGGACCAGGAGGCACCCAGUGAUCUCCAACGUUGGUGUGUGGUUGUGGGCUCCCUCUGGGCUCUGUGGUAGAAAAGCACCUGGGAUGAAAGCCCAACCACCUUCCCAUGGGAUGCUCUUAGGUCAUUUUUAUUGCUUUGUCCCAUUCUUGACAGGAGACAGUGCCAAUGCCUUUCAUGCUUCUGCCCAGACUCCUUCUGGCCAGGAAUCCCAGAAGGUUUCCACCACUGUGAAGGUGCUACUUAGUCAUGUCAGGUGAACAGCUGCAAGGAGAAUUUGGACAAUGCUCUCAGACCUAAAGUUUGGAAUGGUUCUGUGUGGAGCCAGAGGUUGGACUCGGUGGUCCUUAAGGAUCCCUUCCAGCUUUGGAUAUGCUGUAAUUCUAUGAAAAAUGGGAGUGGAUACACUGAUCUGGGGCCAUGCUUGGCGUGGGACAGAGCAUGUGAUGAUGCUUCUUGGAGCAUGACCUGCUUGAAAAUGAACAGAACCCACCAACUUAUGACAGGGAUGGCCUCUCCAUUCUCAAAGCAGAGCUGUCUGCUAUGCUCUUGACCUUCCCUGCUGAUAAACAAGAUGAGUGUUUAAUGGUAGCUCCACCAUCUGUGUGCAUUUGUGGUUAUCGGUUACCAUGGCCAACAUGUAUUUGUGAUGUGCAGUAGUUCACUGGGGAGGAAACGGGAGCGUGAUCCCACAUCCCCCAUGGAGCCACAGCCUCUUCCCUAUGAGAUGCCCUGUAGAUGUCAGCAAAUCUCCAUGCACAGAGCUGCACUGCAUCCCAGCUGUUUCCAGCUGCUGGACUGUGUGCAUAGGAUCCAGUGGCGCAUGCUUUGCCACACACAUCCAAGGACCUGGAAACAGGAACAGGGGACAGCCCUGUGCUUUGCAGUGCUGUACAGCAGAAGAAUUUUGCCUCGUUGACUUUAAAGGGAUAUAAAUUCCCAUUAAGCUCUGGGCAAACCUGUGCACUGUAUGAUGGCAGAAGUGCCCUUCUUGCUCUUCCCCUGCAGGAGGAAGAGCUCAUUUCAAGUAGUUAUUUCCCCCCUGCAACAAAAUGAAAGCAAUUAAAACCUGCUUUUCAGAUCAAAGCCAUUCUCCCAAGAGUUGUUUUCUCUUUCAGCUUUCAGUGAAAAUGACAUUUGGAAUUGAAAAUUCAAAACCUUUUCUUCUAGGAAAAGACAAAAGAAAGCAUUUUCACUUUGACUUUCUGCUUCUAUUCCCAGCUCAAAGGAUGCAAGGAUCAAGCCCAGACUCCUGGGCUGGGAUGAGGGAGAGGCUGGAUCCCAACUGGAUCAUGUGAAUCAUGGACACCAAACCUGUACAUGGGAGCUGGGACCUCAUCCCACUGCUGGAGACAGUGGCUCUUUGAAGGCCUGUGCAGCCAUGCUGCAUUGCUUCUGCCUUCCUCAGGCACUUCUGUCCUCAGUCAUUCCUUCCCAAAUGGGUUGGGAUCUGCUGUUUCAGCAAGAGAACACUACACAACCCUGACCUCCUUUGGGGUGGGAGUGCUGCAGCUUGUAGCAAUUUCAUCAAACAGCUGCAGGCUGAGGUUCAGGAGCCCAAUUUCUUAAAGAAGAAGAAAGCUAAGAAGUGAGCCCCAGGAGUUUUGCUUCAUUUUUAGUGACAGUUUGGUCUCUUUCUAUAAAAGCAGAAGAUUGACCAGUGUAGCUCUUGGAGUCAGGUGGCAUCCAUCUCAGCAUCUGCCUGUGACUGGCCUGGAGGAAAACAGGCUUUCUGAACUGGGGAUGCUGAAAGAAAGAAAAAAAGCUUUCUUAGCAUCCCAUAGCUGGAGUUGAACACAUCUGUUAAUGUAAUGAAAUUCAGCCACCCAGGCACUCCCUGCUAGCAAGCUCAAUUACGACUUAAUAUUCUAUAGGCCAUAUAUCUUUCUAUAUAUUCAUGAAAAACAAAGGACUAAGCCCUGAAUACAGAUGGAGCUGGGGGGAGGCAUCAUGAGAGAGGGGUUUUUUGGAGGCUGCUCCUCACAGCCCAAUGCUGGUGUGAACGUUGGCAGCCUGCAGUGGUUGGGUGCUCCACCAGUGCCAGCCCAAAGCGAAGAUCCCUUGCUGGGUGUCCAUCUUGGGGGGUCCUAAUUCUCCAUGAGUUUUACUUGUUCUUGCAGGGAAUUGUGUUUUGUGAGUUGUUUGUUUUUUUUCCCCCAAGAUGGAUCUUUGACCAUUACAGUUGGCCACGCUGGAAGAUGCCUCAGUGAUUAUUUGUAGUUUCUGGUGCAUUAUUCUUGGUCUUUGUAUGCAUAUAUUUGUGUUAGUUACACAUAUGUUUGCUCUUGUUUUUUGCAGGAAUCUUAUUAGUGUUAGCAGCAGGCACAGGUCUCAGGACCAGACUUGGACCUUCAGCUUGGAGAGGCUUGGGUUUGUUGUGUUCUGUGAAAUUGAUAGAAUCAUAGGAUUUCCUAGAAUCAGAAUGGAUUGGAAGUUCUAACACCCUUAGCAAUCUGUCUCUUCUCACUCCAGCCCCACUCCUUCUAUCUGCUUUGGUUUUGGGUUUCAUCUGUCCCUGUUUCUCUUUUGGCCCCUUCUCAUGAUCUUGGAUGAUCCUCAAGGACUCAGUGCAUCUUCCCACCAGCACGCCUUGGGCAGUGCAUGUGGGGAUGUUAGGAGGCACAGGGAGUCCCACCAUGUGCAACCAGCAAAGCCCUCGUUGGGAGAGCUCUUCUGAUGGUUUGUGUCCCAGAACAUGAUCCCACUACACAGCUUGAACCUACAUGGUUUUCCAAUUGGUGACUUCUGUCUCCCACCUUGCUCCGUGAAGGUCUUAGAGGUUAAAUUUUCAUGCAAGAAGGUUCAAGGCAUGAUUUUGAGAUGUAGUUUGGAGGAGACCAUGCCUCUGGUCAGCAGGUGAGAGUUUCCAACCUGCUUAUGGACCCAUCCCCUGGGGCAACCCAAGUCCACAAGUGUUGCCUACAGAAAGCAGCCUUGUGGCCAAGGUCUGGAGAUGAUUGUGCGCUCUGAGACCAAACGCCUUGCACCUUCCUUAACAGUGUGCACCAAAAUGUGCAAAAUUCAGUGCUUCCAGGACAUGACAUUGCCAUAGGUAGAUCAUACCGUAACCUGAACGUGCCCUGCAGUGUACACUGCUGUAGGAACAUCUCCCAGAGAGGUGGUGUUACUCAGAACAUUGCAUUUGAUGUCCCGUGCACUGGCCGUGCUGUGCAAAACUCAGGAUUUGCUGUGAAAAUUUGCCUGUGAAGUGCUUGUGGCUUGUGGAUGUCACAUUUCUGCCCUAUUCUUUCAGCAGGAGCCUCUUUGCAAAUAAACUGUGAAUAUUUAUGGGCAGAUUUUCGAAUGAGACUGGGAUCCUUCAGAAGCAGUCAGCUUUCAUGGCUGAAUAAUAGAAGUCGGUAGGAAACGGGGUUUUCUUCCUGUUUUGUGGGAAAUCUCAAGAUUUUGGAUUUUUUUCCCCAAACCAAACCAAAUUCAAAGCUCUCCGCAAGACAGAAUAAAAUUAACCAAUCAUAUUGGGCCAAUCAAAAUGCCGUUCUGAAGCUGAGUUGUGCUCUCUGUGAUCUGCCAGUGCCAGAACCCAUCUCUAUCAAACAGUUUGGUUUUUGCUUCUUCCAGGAGCAAUUCGGCCACAUUAUGGGAGUGCUGGAGAAGCUGUGAUUUCAGACCCAAGGAAUGUUAUUUCUUUUUACUGAAGAGUGCUCAGACCUCUCUCUGAGCAAGCUCAGCUCAGCUGAGCUCUGAAAUGACUGUAUCCUUGUGAGCUGCAGUUUUCCCAAGUUGGUGCAGACACUGAAUACUGGAUUUGUCCCAUCCUACUGCUGCUACAUCCUACUUUCCCUAUGGUAUUCCUGAGGUCAACUUCUGAAUUUCUACUCAGGACAGGGCCUGAAAAAUUGGGGAAAGCUCUUCCAUCCGCUGCUGUGAUUGAAGACAUCUGGGAAUCUGCAGGCAUUGCUGUGAAGAAUGGAAACCAUCAUGCAGAGCCACUGGUAGGACUGGGCAUGGAGCUGGAGAUGGACCCCCAGAGGAAGGAUGUGUAACCCAAAAGCCCUCACUGCUACCUGAGCCAAAAAGCCAUGAACCAUUUUGGCUCUGCUGCUUGCAAGAGGUCUCACGGUCAAUCUCUGCAAGUGUUCAGGCUGCUGCAUCCUUUCUUCCAGAGAAACCUUUCUGUCUGUCCUGGGAUGUCACAUUGCCCAACACGGCUCUCUGCAGAAGAGUAAUUCCACCCCGGUGCAACCUAUGGCAGUAGAAGACUGAAGACUUGUCUUCUCUCCCCAUGCAGACAGAGCCCAGGAGCCCUGGCUUUUAAGCGUCUGCGUCAAGAUUCACCCCUUCCUGCUAAACUCCUUUAAACGAGCUCUCAAUAAUAAAUAAAACAAAUCCCAAGC